GGAGGUUGUUGUGUGGCCCCUCUGAUGGCAGAUGUGAGAUCGUGUGUGUGCAUGGGAACUUUCUGCGGUGCUUCCUCCUCCUGGCUCUAAUCGCCUGGUUUUAUCUACAGGGUCAAACCUCCAACAGAGCAGUUGCAGGUGAGCUGCUGGGCCUGGGAGCAGUGGAUGGAGCAAGGAAGCACAGAGCUGCUACAGGAGGAGUCAUGGGAGUCUUCACCUUCCUCCACUUGUGCAGGAAGUAGAAAUCAUUCGGUUGUCACUGGACAGGUUUAGGGUUUUGGUUCAGACACUGGUUGGCGUUCCUGGAGAACGGUGCAGACUGCUAAGUCAUGUUCACUUGACCAGCUGCGUCCAAAUGAUUUAUAGUGGGAGGAUAAUGUGGUGGUGCAGAAAUAGAGCCUGGGGGCGUCAAGCAUGAAGUCUGAGCAGGACGGGGAGCCACCGUGGACUGAAGACGUGGGCCGAGAUCGGCCCUGGACCCGUCCGUCCCGCUGUGCUUCAGUGAGUCUCAGUCCAGAGAAGGUUGACAGACAACGCUGACUCCAGGUCUGUGAAGUCAUCUUCGGGUCUGUGGAGCCUUCUCCGGGUUAAUAAAACCGUCUCCAGAGUCGGUAAAACCGUCUCCUGGUCGGUGAAACUGUUUCCUCUCACUCA